CGCCGGGGAAAUGUCUUUCCCCAGCCGAAUGUCCUUGGUGCGCUCCGCGCUGCUUCUUCAUAAAGGCUCCUGCAGAAGAGCCGCCCGUUCCCUAUUAUGAAUAAUUCAUGAAGGGAAGAAUGACUGUUCCAAAAGGGCACCAAAUUGUCGUCAGCUUUUCCCAAACGCAGGUUGAGAAGAGGAGGGCUGAAAUUGUGCACCCUGACGUGAAAAUAAGAAUAUAAUGAAAGAUCAUCCAAAACAUCACAGCUCCAGAGUUGUUCUGUUGCCACAGUUGUGUUAUCCUUGCUGUAACCAGGAGAUGGGUAUCACGAUCAACUUGAGCCUGCCCCGACCGGCACAAUGUCACAACCUGGGUUCACGGUAUUAUGGUACCUGGAUGUAUUAAAGGUGCCAAGUUUA